rnacentral:rRNA from 1 species
CCUACGGGUGGCAGCAGUGAGGAAUAUUGGUCAAUGGGCGCGAGCCUGAACCAGCCAAGCAGCGUGAAGGAUGAAUGCCCUACGGGUUGUAAACCUCUUUUAUAAAGGAAUAAAGUGAGGCACGUGUCCCCUUUUGUAUGUACUUUAUGAAUAAGGAUCGGCUAACUCCGUGCCAGCAGCCGCGGUAAUACGGAGGAUGCGAGCGUUAUCCGGAUUUAUUGGGUUUAAAGGGUGCGUAGGCGGAACGUUAAGUCAGUGGUCAAAGGGAGGGGCUCAACCCCUUCCCGCCAUUGAAACUGGCGCUCUUGAGUAGAAGAGAAGUAUGCGGAAUGCGUGGUGUAGCGGGGAAAUGCAUAGAUAUCACGCAGAACCCCGAUUGCGAAGGCAGCAUGCCGGCUACCGACUGACGCUGAGGCACGAAAGCGUGGGGAUCGAACAGGAUUAGAUACCCCAGUAGUC